UUGCCUCAGUAACGGCGAGUGAAGCGGCAACAGCUCAAAUUUGAAAUCUGGCGCAAGCCCGAGUUGUAAUUUGCAGAGGAUGUUUCGGGUGAAGCCACGGUCCAAGUCCCUUGGAACAGGACGUCAUAGAGGGUGAGAACCCCGUACCUGGCCGUCGGUGCCCCCCGCUGUGAAACUCCUUCGACGAGUCGAGUUGUUUGGGAAUGCAGCUCUAAAUUGGUGGUAAAUUCCAUCUAAAGCUAAAUACCGGCCAGAGACCGAUAGCGCACAAGUAGAGUGAUCGAAAGAUGAAAAGCACUUUGAAAAGAGAGUUAAAAAGUACGUGAAAUUGUUGAAAGGGAAGCGCUUGCGGCCAGACUUGCCCGCGGUUGCUCAGCCCGCCUUUUGGCGGGUGCACUCUUCCGCGGUCAGGCCAGCAUCGGUUUGGGCGGUCGGAUAAAGGCGCCGGGAACGUGGCCUCCCCUCGGGGAGGUGUUAUAGCCCGGCGCGCAAUGCGGCCAGCCCGGACCGAGGUUCGCGCUUUGCUAGGAUGCUGGCGUAAUGGCCGUAAGCGGCCCGUCUUGAAACACGGACCAAGGAGUCUAACAUCUAUGCGAGUGUUUGGGUGUCAAACCCGUGCGCGUAAUGAAAGUGAACGGAGGUGGGAACCGCAAGGUGCACCAUCGACCGAUCCUGAUGUCUUCGGAAGGAUUUGAGUAAGAGCAUAGCUGUUGGGACCCGAAAGAUGGUGAACUAUGCGUGAAUAGGGUGAAGCCAGAGGAAACUCUGGUGGAGGCUCGCAGCGGUUCUGACGUGCAAAUCGAUCGUCAAAUUUGCGUAUAGGGGCGAAAGACUAAUCGAACCAUUUGCAAACAGCAAUACUAGAUGGUCAAAGGGCGGAGAGCCUUAGUCCCCACGGGGGCCACACUGCCAAACUGCGGGGAACGCCCACAGCCGGACGCCACCGCCCCCCCGCCGCGAGGUGGGAGGGGCACCCCGUUUACUCGGGGGCAUGGUAACAGCGCGCCCGGCGGGUCGAUCCGCAGCCGUCCCCCGAUCCGUCGGGGGGUGGUUCACAGACUAGACGGCGGUGGGCGCGGCGAGCGCUUAAGAUAUAGUCGAUCCAGCCCCUCAAGGGCCGAGA
rnacentral:rRNA from 1 species